GUUCUGGGUUGUUUUCAUCUUACUCCAACUCUUCUUCAAUUGGUUUCUACAAUUAUCACAACAACUUGCCUAUUUCUUCCAGAAAUUUUGCUUCCCACAAGAUUUCUCUGCAAAUUGAUGCCGUUCGCAUGCAAGAUGGUGCUGUAGUGGCUCCACCUAGCAAAACCCAAGAUGAAACUCCUUUGAAGAAAUUAAAAGAUGGAAUUUUGUCAAAGGAGCAGAAACAUAUAUUU
rnacentral:misc_RNA from 1 species